rnacentral:rRNA from 1 species
AGAUUGAACGCUGGCGGCAGGCCUAACACAUGCAAGUCGAGCGGCAGCACGGGUACUUGUACCUGGUGGCGAGCGGCGGACGGGUGAGUAAUGCCUAGGAAUCUGCCUGGUAGUGGGGGAUAACGCUCGGAAACGGACGCUAAUACCGCAUACGUCCUACGGGAGAAAGCAGGGGACCUUCGGGCCUUGCGCUAUCAGAUGAGCCUAGGUCGGAUUAGCUAGUUGGUGAGGUAAUGGCUCACCAAGGCGACGAUCCGUAACUGUCUGAGAGGAUGAUCAGUCACACUGGAACUGAGACACGGUCCAGACUCCUACGGAGGCAGCAGGUGGGGAUAUUGGACAAUGGGACGAAAGCCUAGAUCCAAGCCAUGCCGCGUGUGUGAAGAAGGUCUUCGGAUUGAAAGCUAACUUUUAAAGUUGGGAGGAAGGGCUAACGUUAACCUAAUACGUAUCUUGUUUUAGACGUUACCGACAAGAAUAAGACGACCGACUAAACUUCGUAGUGACCCGUAGACCG